GACGAACGCUGGCGGCGUGCUUAACACAUGCAAGUCGAACGGAAAGGCCCUGCUUUUGUGGGGUGCUCGAGUGGCGAACGGGUGAGUAACACGUGAGUAACCUGCCCUUGACUUUGGGAUAACUUCAGGAAACUGGGGCUAAUACCGGAUAGGAGCUCCUGCUGCAUGGUGGGGGUUGGAAAGUUUCGGCGGUUGGGGAUGGACUCGCGGCUUAUCAGCUUGUUGGUGGGGUAGUGGCUUACCAAGGCUUUGACGGGUAGCCGGCCUGAGAGGGUGACCGGCCACAUUGGGACUGGGAUGCGGCCCAGACUCCUUAGGGAGGCAGGAGUGGGGAAUAUUUCAACAAGGGCGGAAGCCUGGAGGAGCCACGCCGGGUGCGGGAUGACGGCCCUUCGGUUUUAAACCCCUUUUGCCUGGGAACAAGCCGGAGGGACCGUAAUGGGUAAAGAAGCAACGGCUAACUUCCUG
rnacentral:rRNA from 1 species